CAAAAACAAAAAUGGAGUCGGAGGAAGUCUUUAAUUGCAAGUAGCGCUUUAUUUUUUAUGUAUCAUUUGAGUGAGGUUGCCUAAUUUAUUCACCUAAAUCUUUCUCAAAAAGGGACUGAUGCCAAUACUGCCGAUCUGAUUGUAUGACGAGUCAGCAACAACAGUCUGUUUACAGGCAAAAGAAAUGCAGCCAUCAAAGCUUUUGAACUGUAUGUCAAAGAGAAACAACUGCAAGGGAAAGUUACCCCUGCUUGGGUUAGAAAAAAGUGGGAGAAUCUAAAACAGAAGUACAAGGACCUUAAGAGUCUCAGUAUAGUUGGAGGGGACACGGCAAUUGCGACCUGGAAGUGGUAUGCAAUCAUGGAUGGUGCACUGAGUACCGAGAUCCCCUUUAGCCCCCUCAUUACACCAGUCCAUGGGUCAUUAUCUGCUAAGGAUGCUCCUCCCAUCAAGCAGAGGAAGGAGGAGGACUGGAUGAAAGCCCUGCGGGAGAUGGAGAGAAGACUGGAGGAACGAGAGAGACGAUCGGCGGAGAGAGAGGAUGAAAGAAACAGACGGGCUGCAGCAAGAGAGGAGGAGAGAGACAGAAGGGCUGCAGAGAGGGAGAUGGAACGGGAUCGAAGGGCCACAGAGCGGGAAGAUGAAAGAGAGAGAGAGGGGCUGGAGAGGGAGAUGAGGACAGAACGAGAGAUGUUUGCGAGAGAGGAACGGUGGGAGAAGGAGAUGCUGGCUUGAGAAGAGAGGCAGGAAAGGGAGCACAGAGAAAGAGAGGAGAGGAGAGAAAGGGAAGCUGCUGCUAGAGAAGAAAGGCUCUUUAAACUCCUCGAGACAUUUCUGGCCAACAAAUAAAACAGUUACUUUUCCACAUUCCAAGAAUUGCCUAUUUUCUAUUAAUAAACUAUUUUGGAGAUUACUUUUGCAUAAAUCCAACAAAUACUAAUGAUUAAUUUAGUUAUAGUUACAAUGGAUAAUAAAACCAACAAGACCUCUUUGUCAUAAUUGAAUACUUUAUUAUUACACAAAUCCAACAGAAAGUAGCACAUUACUGACAAACAAUAAUAUAUCCACAAAACAGUACAUCAACAGUAACUCAAAAGUGAAGCUGCCAACAUGUUAAGCUUUUACAAUCUAUAUAUAUAUGGGUGAGAGACACAUUCAAUUAUAUUAAGUAAACUUUUUUAAUGCUAGAUUGUGAGGUUUCUGAAAAAAGAUUAUACUGUUUUAUUCUGGGUCAUAUUAAGCAAAACUCUGAGAGAAACAACAGAAUGAAAGAAAUAACUAACUUCAACUUAAUAGAGCUGUUCAGUUUGUAGUCCAAAAACAUGGAAGAGAAUUAGUAUUUUUGUGUCGACAGGCACGUACACUUACAAGCCUGUGACAGUUGUAAUCCUUAUUUAGCAAGUUGUUAGCAGCAUUCAUACAGCAAACACAGUAGCUUAAAAAAAAAUUCACGUUUGGGGUAUGACUUUGUGUAAUUUAUGUUCAGGGUUGGGAAUGAAUGGAAUACAUGUAACACGAUUACGUAUUUAAAAUGCAAAAUAUAAGUAACUGUAUUCCACUACAGUUACAAUUUAAAUAAUUGGUAAUUUAAAUAAAAAGUUACAUUCAAAAAGUAUUUUGAUUACUGAAGAGAUUCCUUUGCAUUUUACUGUCAUUUGUUUCAUUUAAUAUUUAGUCCUUUGAGAUGGAAAACAUUUAUACAUAUAAAUGAUGCGAUCCAAAGUGCAUUUAAACAGCGGUGAAACACUUUCUUAUGUGUUACAUUCAUACGAGCAGACAGAGAAUUAAAUUUGAAGUUUGGAGCAGAAGAAAUAGAAAUAAACCUUGUGUAAAUUGUCAGCUUUACACUAAAAUAAUAUGCUAUUUCUAGCCAUUUUACAUGCACGUUACCAGGCACGAUCAUAUUUUUUAUUCAAGAAAAUUCACGUAGGAUCAUAAUUUAUUUUCUUCUAUAGUAAGACCUUUGAUAUGAGGGCAAAAAUCGUAUUCUUGAUAAUCCUGUAAAAAUAUCAAAAAAUCCUUAAAACAAGAUCAGUUCGAUUUUUCUUGUUUUAGAAACAACACUGCAUAAGAUAUUUAGGAUUAUCAGAGAAUGUAUUUUUAAUGUGUAUUUUGUCUUACUGUACUGGCAGAGAUUUUAUUGUUAAAACAAGUGAAAAAAUAAACCAGUGCUGAAGAAGUAAUCCAAAGUAUUUAGAAUACGUUACUGACCUUGAGAAAUCUAACAGAAUACAUUUUACAGCAUGUAUUCUGUAAUCUGUAGUGGAAUACAUUUAAAAAGUAACCCUCCCAACCCUGUUUAUGUUACAGAACAAAAGUCCAGUAUCUUCAAGUAAUGUUUACCACAGACCUUAUUUCACCCAUAAAUCCAAGACUGCCAUUAUAAAAACCCAUAGGAAAUUCGAGAGGGAAUGCAUGGCGAAUUAGCCUUUUGUUUGUUAACAAAUAAAUAUCAUGGCUGAACAAUAGCUGGAAAAUUUUUUAGAAUGUUUCCUCACUUUUAGAAAGUGUUUCCUGAGGUUAAUUUGGCCUUAAAGGUGCUGUAAGUGAUAUUAACCAUUUUGAAACUUCCAUGAGACUUAGCUGUCUAAUUAGACCACCCCCUUUCCAAAACCAUACUCUUGGAGAUUGCUGAAAUCAAUACAUAUGCAAUUUGAUGUCUGACAUUAAACAGGUAGCCUACAAGUAUGCUGGUUAUCAAAAGCAACAGCAGAAAAAUAGCGUUCUCAUGUGACAAAAGGACAAAUCUCAAACUGAUGCUCUCAGCUUCCUGCAGUCAAUCCAAAGCAUGGCGCUGCCCAGUGGUUAGUCAUGAAAACUGUGGAUAUACACUGAGCACUUAAUUAUAUCACUGAGCACUUAAUUACAGAAUUAUAUCACUGAGCACUUAAUUAGGAUCACUAUGGUACUAAUAAAGUGCCCAACAUUGUCUUCUGCUGUUGUUGCCCAUCCGCCUCAAUGUUCGUAGUAUUGUGCAUUCUGAGCUGCUAUUCUGCUCACUACAAUCGAGGGUUUAUCUGAGUUACUGUAGCCUUUCUGUCAGCUUGAAGCAGUCUGGCCAUUCUCCAUUGACCUCUAAUCAACAAGGCCUUUCUGUCCACAGAACUGCUGCUCAGUGGAUGUUUUAUGUUUUAUGCACCAUCGGAGUAAAUUUUGCUGACUGUUGUUUGUGAAAAUCUGCAAAUUUUUUCCCAGCUGUUUACAGAGCAUAGGGGCUGUUACAUCUGACAGGUAAUAGAGAUGUUUUCUGUGUGUAAUUUCAUAAAUAAAUUCACUUACAGCACCUUUACAUUAAUUUAAUAAUCUAGAUCCCCAAUAGAAAAGCAUCUGUUCAAGAAAAAAUUCCAAUUCUUUGUUAAUCCAUAAAUUGCUGUGAGAUUACUUAUAUUUGUAACAGCACACACAAUUUGGCACAAACUUGGCUUUAAUAUUAUACAAGCAUCUACAUUUUCCUACAAUAAAACAUUUCUAAUAUUUAUUCUGUAUAUCUAAUUAAUAUAUAUUCCUCUAAAUAAAUACUUUGAUAGAUGACAAAUAUUAAGAAUACAUCUAUGUAAUUAAAUAUUCAGUUUUUAUAGUUAAUAUGAUUUUGACAGAAUACUUUAAUGAUCUCUUUAUAAGGUUUAGAUUUAAAAUGACAUCUAACAAAAGACUAAACGGUGCAACACAGAAAUGCAUAUUAAUCAGCUUUCACUGUUGGAUAAUAUUACGCACAGUGCUUAAUAAAAACAUCUAGUAAUUGCAAAGGGUGUCCCAUGAUAGCUUUGUAUGUUUUAAGCUUUCCCUUUGACCAGAGAAAUACAAUUUAGGAUGU